rnacentral:lncRNA from 1 species
AUGAAAGACCAUUCUGAUUUUUUUGACCAUACCUUUAUUUUGAAAUCUGUACCCCGGAUGUUUUUCCCGCUGCGUCACUUGUAUUUCCGGCGGCAGCAUCAGUGGCUGCAUCUCAGUGGAGUGAUAAAAAAGCAGCACGUUUGCUCGGGAACCGGUUUUCUUUAUCUCUUCUUUUCCUUUUCUUCAGUUUGGUUGUAUCGCUCGUCUGGAGUCGGGGAGUCCUCCUUGACCACCGCGACCAUGUACGGGCCACGCAAACCCGCGCACGGCACGCCGUACGGACCCCCGCCACCACACGGCCCUCCCUUCUCCCACAGGCGGCCCUGUGGACCUGCUCCUCCCGGACACUUGCCCCCGGGACCUUUCGGACCAUUUUCGACACCAGAUAGCCAUUUUCUCCAGAACAGAGCACCAAGAGAGCGUUUCAUGAGUCCCCACUGUAGCAGCUUCUCCAUAGACCGUAGUACGGUGAUGCAGCAUGCAGAACCACCACAACUCCCAAAGUGGAAUCCCACCCCUGUGGAUCAUCAUCUUCAAGACAACAGUCAACGAGCUGGAGAGGAAUUCUUGAGAUGCAUUGCGGCUAAUAAGCCUCUCCCAGAUUAUCUAAAGGGGGACAUGGCAUACAACCUUGCUGAGGCCUUAAAGUCGGCUAAUGUCCUGAAAGAUGUAGUCAAAUCAGACCAUGAGUUCCAGAAGCAUGUGAACCGGAGCGGAAGUCGAAGCAGAAGCCGUGACAGAAGCCGUGGAAAAUCUCGUGCUAAGAGCUCUGCGCGAAGCAGGAGCCGAGUGCGCAGCCGAAGCAGAGGAAGGAGUAAAAGUCACGCUCAUGGCAAGAGUCGCGCUAGAAGCAAAAGCAGGGCAAGAAGCAAGAGCAGGGCAAGAAGCAAGAGCAGGGCAAGAAGCAAAAGCAGGGCAAGAAGCAAGAGCAGGGCAAGAAGCAAAAGCAGGGCAAGAAGCAAGAGCAGGGCCCGCAGUAAGAGUCGGAGCAGCAGCCGAAGCAGGAGGAAAAGUCGUGCACGGAGCAAGAGUCGGGUCAGGAGGUCCGAGUCACGAAGUAGCAGCAUUGAAAAGAGCCGUGCUGCCAACUGUAAUAAUUGGACAGGGAAAAGUCUGUUGCAGGGACUGAAGAUGGUCAUGAACAGCAAGGAACUGGAAGAGCGGUUGCCUACCCUCAAAGACGCCAUCUUCACUAUUCAGACGUCUGACAGCAAAAAGGUUCUGGAUGAGCAUGACGAAGCCAUGAAUUUGGCUUCUCUGGAAAACGACAGUAUGCUUCUUCCCCACGACAGAGUAGGCAGUGACUUCUCCUGGCUCCAAUCAACGAAGGAAGAGGACUCCACAGACAGGAAAGCUGAAGAACUUGAAGACGAGGAGUCGUUCCUAUAUGGGAAUGAAGGCACUGGAAGAAAACCAACCACUAAAUCCUCUACCGCCCUUUUCCCAGUGUUUUCUCAGACCGGAGAACAUUCCAAACUGCAUAAAAUGGAUGUUUCUGCUCCGAGCAGUCAACAGCAUAAUAAGAGCAUGUCCGCACUCGGUAGCUUUGGGGAUCUGCUCGACCUGAAGGUGCCUCUUCAAAUGAUUUCCUCUUUUAACCUGGACAGCGGUGAUUAUGAGAAGAUCAGGAGCAUAUUAAGAAGUCAGGGCACAGCAGACAUCAGCAAUAUCAUGGCGAAGAUGCAGGGGGAGAAGCAGCCGUCUCCUGCAGAUCCAACAGCGGCGGCCUUCGCUUUGCCAGCAAUGAAAAACCCUAAUGUACAGCAAGCUCUGGAAUCUCUACAGUCUCUGAUAAAAGUUGUCAAGGAUAAGAUUUUGUGACAGCUGAACGUGACGGUGUACCCA